rnacentral:rRNA from 1 species
GACGAACCGUGCAAACGUUAUUCGGAAUCACUGGGCUUAAAGCGCGUGUAGGCGGGACAGCACGUCGGCCGCUGAAAUCCCCCGGCUCAACCGGGGAACUGGCGCCGAUACGACUGCCCUCGAGGAACGUAGGGGGACCUGGAACUUCCGGUGGAGCGGUGAAAUGCGUAGAGAUGUGGAGGAACACCGAUGGCGAAGGCAGCCUUCUGGGCCAAUACUGACGCUCAUGCACGGAAGCGUGGGGAGCAAACAGG